rnacentral:tRNA from 1 species
ACGUUAUUAGUAUAAAGUGUUAUUAUGUUACUUUUCCAAAGUAACGAUCUGGGUAGUCAGAUAGCGUA